AAAACAAAAACUAGAAAAUCCUAGUUUCAUUUUAAGGAGGCGGCCAACAUGACAACACAAAGGAGGAAGCCAACAUGACAACGCAAAGGAGGCGGUCAGGAAGAAACGCGAUUGAAAAAAAAAAGGAUGCGAAAACGAAAGAGAAAUGAGGGAACGACGACGGUGAGGAAGGUGACGACAACCUCAACAACGGUGGCAACGCCAACAACGACAAUGGCGACAAUGACAUCGACGAUGGCAACAACAAAGAAGACAUCAUCACAGUUACAGAAAGCACAAAAAUAAUGCUUCAAGGAGUGAAGUAAUAGAAAUAUUUAAAUAAGGCAGCUGGAGCAAAAGCAAGACAAUGCGGCAAAAGAAAAACAAACAAGGCAUGUAGCAGCGACAAGUUACAAAAGGCACAAGGAUAGUGCUUCUAGCAGUGAAGCAAUAGAAAAAUUCAAAUAAGGCAGACAA